GAUGAACGCUGGCGGCGUGCCUAAUACAUGCAAGUCGAGCGAACAGACGAGGAGCUUGCUCCUCUGACGUUAGCGGCGGACGGGUGAGUAACACGUGGAUAACCUACCUAUAAGACUGGGAUAACUUCGGGAAACCGGAGCUAAUACCGGAUAAUAUAUUGAACCGUAUGGUUUAAUAGUGAAAGACGGAUUUGCUGUCACUUAUAGAUGGAUCCGCGCCGCAUUAGCUAGUUGGUAAGGUAACGGCUAACCAAGGCAACGAUGCGUAGCCGACCUGGGAGGGUGUUCGGCCACACGGGAACUGAGACACGGUCCAGACUCCUACGGGAGGCAGCAGUAGGGAAUCUUCCGCAAUGGGCGAAGGCCUGACGGAGCAACGCCGCGUGAGUGAUGAAGGUCUUCGGAUCGUAAAACUCUGUUAUUAGGGAAGAACAAAUGUGUAAGUAACUAUGCACGUCGUGACGGUACCUAAUCAGAAAGCCACGGCUAACUACGUG
rnacentral:rRNA from 1 species